rnacentral:rRNA from 1 species
AGAGUUUGAUCCUGGCUCAGGACGAACGCUGGCGGCGCGCCUAAUGCAUGCAAGUCGAGCGAGGCUCCACCCUUCGGGGUGGAUGUCCUAGCGGCAAACGGCUGAGUAACGCGUGGGUGAUCUACCCCAGAGAGGGGAAUAACCCGCCGAAAGGCGGACUAAUUCCGCAUACGCUCCACCGUGUAAAGGCGGUGGUGGAAAGGGUUCCGGGCAACCGGCGCCGCUCUGGGAGGAGCUCGCGUCCUAUCAGGUUGUUGGUGGGGUAACGGCCUACCAAAUGCCAAAGACGGGUAGCUGGUGUGAGAGCACGACCAGCCAGAGGGGGACUGAGACACGGCCCCCACUCCUACGGGAGGCAGCAGCAGGGAAUCUUGCACAAUGGGCGAAAGCCUGAUGCAGCGACGCCGCGUGAGGGACGAAGGCUCUAGGGUUGUAAACCUCUUUUCUCAGGGAAGAGCAAGGACGUACC